rnacentral:rRNA from 1 species
UACGAAGGGUGCAAGCGUUAAUCGGAAUUACUGGGCGUAAAGGGUGCGUAGGCGGUUCGUUAAGUCUGUCGUGAAAUCCCCGGGCUCAACCUGGGAAUGGCGAUGGAUACUGGCGAGCUAGAGUGUGUCAGAGGAUGGUGGAAUUCCCGGUGUAGCGGUGAAAUGCGUAGAGAUCGGGAGGAACAUCAGUGGCGAAGGCGGCCAUCUGGGACAACACUGACGCUGAAGCACGAAAGCGUCGGGAGCAAACAGG